AACACGUGGUGACCUGCCUCUGAGUGGGGAUAACGUUUCGAAAGGAACGCUAAUACCGCAUGACAUCCUGCCUUUGGACAGGCGGAGAUCAAAGCCGGGGAUCGCAAGACCUGGCGCUUGGAGAGGGGCCCGCGUCCGAUUAGCUAGUUGGUGGGGUAACGGCUCACCAAGGCGACGAUCGGUAUCCGGCCUGAGAGGGCGGACGGACACACUGGGACUGAGACACGGCCCAGACUCCUACGGGAGGCAGCAGUGGGGAAUUGUUCGCAAUGGGCGCAAGCCUGACGACGCAACGCCGCGUGGAGGAUGAAGGUCUUCGGAUUGUAAACUCCUGUUGAUCGGGACGAAUAACCAUCGGGAUAACACCCCGGAGGUCUGACGGUACCG
rnacentral:rRNA from 1 species